rnacentral:rRNA from 1 species
AGAGUUUGAUCAUGGCUCAGGAUGAACGCUAGCUACAGGCUUAACACAUGCAAGUCGAGGGGCAGCAUGUUGGUUGCUUGCAACCAACGAUGGCGACCGGCGCACGGGUGAGUAACGCGUAUCCAACCUACCCUUGUCCAUCGGAUAACCCGUCGAAAGGCGGCCUAACACGAUAUGCGGUUCACAGCAGGCAUCUAACGUGAACGAAAUGUGAAGGAGAAGGAUGGGGAUGCGUCUGAUUAGCUUGUUGGCGGGGUAACGGCCACCAAGGCUACGAUCGAGUAGGGGUUCUGAGAGGAAGGUCCCCCANAUUGGAACUGAGACACGGUCCAAACUCAUACGGGAGCA